GGAUUAGAUACCCUGGUAGUCCACACCGUAAACGAUGAAUGCCAGUCGUCGGGUAGUAUACUAUUCGGUGACACACCUAACGGAUUAAGCAUUCCGCCUGGGGAGUACGGUCGCAAGAUUAAAACUCAAAGGAAUUGACGGGGGCCCGCACAAGCGGUGGAUUAUGUGGAUUAAUUCGAUGCAACGCGAAAAACCUUACCUGGCCUUGACAUGUACCGAAUUUAGCAGAGAUGCUUUAGUGCUCGUAAGAGAACGGUAACACAGGUGCUGCAUGGCUGUCGUCAGCUCGUGCCG
rnacentral:rRNA from 1 species